AUAACCUGCCUCACACAGGGGGAUAACAGUUAGAAAUGACUGCUAAUACCGCAUAAGCGCACAGUCUCGCAUGGGACAGUGUGAAAAACUGAGGUGGUGUGAGAUGGAUCCGCGUCUGAUUAGGCAGUUGGCGGGGUAACGGCCCACCAAACCAACGAUCAGUAGCCGGCCUGAGAGGGUGAACGGCCACAUUGGGACUGAGACACGGCCCAAACUCCUACGGGAGGCAGCAGUGGGGAAUAUUGCACAAUGGGGGAAACCCUGAUGCAGCGACGCCGCGUGAAGGAAGAAGUAUUUCGGUAUGUAAACUUCUAUCAGCAGGGAAGAAAGUGACGGUACCUGACUAAGAAGCCCCGGCUAACUACGUGCCAGCAGCCGCGGUAAUACGUAGGGGGCAAGCGUUAUCCGGAUUUACUGGGUGUAAAGGGAGCGUAGGCGGCGAUGCAAGUCAGAAGUGAAAGCCCGGGGCUCAACUCCGGGACUGCUUUUGAAACUGUAUGGCUAGAUUGCAGGAGAGGCAAGUGGAAUUCCUAGUGUAGCGGUGAAAUGCGUAGAUAUUAGGAGGAACACCAGUGGCGAAGGCGGCUUGCUGGACUGUAAAUGACGCUGAGGCUCGAAAGCGUGGGGAGCAAACAGGAUUAGAUAUCCUGGUAGUCCACGCCGUAAACGAUGUAUACCAGGUGU
rnacentral:rRNA from 1 species